CCUACGGGCGGCUGCAGUGAGGAAUAUUGGUCAAUGGCCGGAAGGCUGAACCAGCCAUGCCGCGUGAAGGUCAGUGCCCUAUGGGCGUUAAACUUCUUUUGUGCGGGAGCAAUAAUGGUCACGUGUGGCCAGACGAGAGUACCGGACGAAUAAGCAUCGGCUAACUCCGUGCCAGCAGCCGCGGUAAUCCGGGGGAUGCAAGCGUUAUCCGGAUGUAUUGGGGUUAAAGGGUGCGUAGGCUGUGAGGUAAGUCAGCGGUGAAAUGCCCCCGCGCAACGGGGUGAAGUGCCAUUGAGACUGCCUUGCUGGAAUGCGGAUGCCGUUGGAGGAAUGUGUGGUGUAGCGGUGAAAUGCAUAGAUAUCACACAGAACACCGAUUGCGAAGGCAUCUCACGAAUCCGCGAUUGACGCUGAUGCACGAAAGCGUGGGUAUCAAACAGGAUUAGAUACCCCAGUAGUC
rnacentral:rRNA from 1 species